GGGGUGAAGGAGAGCGGAAGUGUAGGGUGUGAGGUGAAAAGUGAAGAGAAGCCGGGUUGUCUUUGUCCGUCCUCAGCCGGAAACACCUAAAGUGGAAAAGCUAAGACCGUGCUGGGAAAGCCGAAGUGAGCAAAACUGAGCUGAUGCCCAUGCUUGCCCAGCUGGGUUUGAGAAGACGCGCGCCAGUGAGGGCCGUGUGAGUUGCCAGCGGGCAGAGAAAGAUGUCCCAGCCUUCAGGAGGAGCUCGGCUUUCCCGGGUGAGAUGGGCUGGCGGGUGGCCCCGAGGCCAGCUCCCCAGACCCUUUCAAGGCCAGCCAGGGGCACCCAUGGGAUCUCUCCUAACUCCCCACGCCCCAUCUCCGGGGACAGGUUAUCCCUGCUUGUUCCCUCCCUCUCUGCCCCGCUCUCCCCCUGGUCUCGUGCUGCUCUCUUCCUCCAGCUCAGGUGGUGGAAAAUGGGGUCCUGGUCCUGGGGGCUUGAGGCGGCUCUUUGCAGGCCAGCAAGCUGGGGAGACAGCCUGUCAGAGCUCCCACCCGCUGCCCCGGCCAGUCAGCUGUGGCCAGCUGGGGUACGUUGUACUAGAGGCCACAGGGCCGGACCCCCAGCCCUGAGGAUGCAGGGAGAAGUUCUUUUCUUCAAACAUUCCUGCUCCUGCCCCUCCCCACAAUGGAGGGCACGGUCUUGCGCCCCCCCCCCCCCACUAGGAGGUGCGUGCCCCGCCCCCUCCAGCAAGGUCUGCAGAGGCCCAGCCAGCUGGGUUUGGGGUAGGGAGAGGAUUGCUCUAGACUGGAAAGGGUAUCCCUAGAGACACAAAUCGGUCUGGAGUGUAGCCUGGGGUGGAAGUGUUCGAGAUUUGAAGAAAGAGAAAAUGUGACAUGAUCACUUAGGUUUGUGGACGUGUACAAGGACCAGGGUGGAGUGGGAAGUAAUCUCUCACGAUUUCACCAAACAAGCCUCUUACAGAACAUGUUUCCCCCAUAACGUUGGACUCUGUAGGUUUGGAGGUCCUAGUGCACAUGAAGGAACAUUCCCUGGAGGACACAAUCUUGAACCCAUUAAACUGGAAGCUCGGGUUUAUGACUGGCCACUUUUGGGCUUCUCAUGCUGCUGACCCAGCAAGCAUUGAGUGGGGUUCACUGUACUGGUCGGGUAGGACAAAAUGGGGGCAAGGAAGCCCGCAUCUGAGCCAGAGGAUUUUCCACAAAGUCUAACCUGUAAUCAGUACCUGAUCAGACUUGCUAUCUACUCUGGGUAGGGGCCACACAAUUUUUUCAUCUAAAUAAAGGACAAAGGCUCUCUGAUUAAUCCCUCCCUUGCCUACCUUUGACCGCUACAGACUGCAUCAUCCCGGCUUUCUCAUCUUCUGGCUUCCAGUUGGAUUUGACCAAAUGGCACCCGAGCAGGAGAUUGUAGGUUUGGAGGAAAUGUAGGCGAGGGGAUUUAUCACAAUUCUGACUGGUUGCUUGCCCCUGCUGCUCCUGCUGGGCUGACUCUUCCACAUGGUUAUGAUAGCACCAUUCCUCUGUUUGUUGCCUUGGUCUCCCUUUGGUGCUAGUGUCUGGGUGUCUUCUUAUUUUCCCUUAGCUGUCCCCAUGUCUCAUAAAGAGGC